UAAUUUUUUUAUUUUUUUUAAUUAUUAUUUUUUAAUGAAUAGUAAAUUUUAGGACCACCUUUAAGUAGCACAUAGUGUUUGGAUCAAGUAAAUAUAACAGAACUGUAUCAAGGGAACAGGUGUCUAUACAUACAUAUCUAAUGUAUCUUGAAAGAAUGGUUGGAGAAUAAUAUAUGCAGCAGAAGCAAGAAUAAUAUGUAUAUAUACAUGCAUGGUUCAGGAGAAUAUUGUUAGUCACAUGAGGCAACAGCAAGUGCUACCCUAAGAUCAUUUGAAGUUUCACAUACGUACAUUCUGUAUGUUUCUAUUUCUUGUCGAUAAAACUUAGAAGCAGAGGCAGCAAAAUGAUUUCUGCUCGCUCUGUCACGUUUGGAAAACGUUAUCUCCCUUAACAUUGGUUCGUGCCCGUUAAGGAGGUUUCCCAUGCUCAAAACUUUUCUCCACGUCUCUCUCACGUGCCCCUUAUUUCAUGCUUUUUCUUG
rnacentral:lncRNA from 1 species